rnacentral:lncRNA from 1 species
CCGCCCCCUCCAGCCGCCCGGGCGCCCCGGCCGCGGUGGGGGGUGGGGAUGGAGAGACGCUGGUUGGAGACUGGAUCUCACCUGGACAGCAGGAGGCUUGAGCCCCGGAGUUUGAGGCUGCAGUGAGCUAUGACUGUGACACUGCAUUCCAGCCUGGGGGACUGAGUGAGAGCGUCUGUUAAAAACAAACAAACAAAAACCAGGUAUUGUUAUUGCAGGAUCCUUCUGGGAUCUCUCCUGUCCCUGAUCUGGCUGUGGGAUUCUCCGAUUCUCUCUUGCAGUCCACCACGGAAGAGGCAGGGUUUCUCUAUGUUGCCCAAGCUGGUCUUGAACUCCCGACCUCAAGUGAUCUGCCCGCCCCGGCCUCCCAAAGUGCUGGGAUCACAAGCGUGAGCCACCGCACCUGGCCCUUCCUCUGAGGCCUUCGUCUCCAAGAAUCCAGCAAAGUGACAAUAAUGAAAAUAAUGUCACUAAAGGGCCAGCACCACAGAAGAAAUCUCACUGGAACACCUGACUUCAAGUGUGACCUUGAAUCUCACUGAGCUCUCAAAUGUAACUGCCAGUUCCCCAAAAUGUGAGGAACUGAGAAACAGGUAAAAUGACAUCACAUGGACACAGCCAGCCCCACACAAACCAGAAAAACACACGGAGCAAAGGCCCCAGGGCUCCUGCAAGUUAAAUGUAGAAACCACCAACUGCCCUCAUACAAACAAGCAAACUAGAGAAGAAAACCCCUUUUCCACAGUGGAAAAUCAGUUGCCGGGCAUGCUGGCUCACGCCUGUAAUCCCAGCACUUUGGAAGGCCGAGGCGAGAGGGUUGCAUGAGUCUAGGAGUUCAAGCCCAGCCUGGGCAACAUAGCAAGAUCCCAUCUCUUAAAAAAAAAAAAUGAACGAAGAAAAAAAAAUUAGUUGGGUGUGGUGGUGCGCACUUAUAGUCCCAGCUACUCAGGAGGCUGAGGUGGGAGGAUCACCUGAGCCGAGGACAUAGAGGCUGCAGUGAGCCAGGCUGCACUCCAGCCUGGGUGAGAGAGUAAGACCCUGUCUCAGAAAAAAAAAAGAAAGAAAGAAAAAAGAGACUUAGGAUACAGAUCAGCGACAGCCAUUGUGGGCCCUUAAUGGAUCCUGAUUCAAACCAAGUCACCCCAGAAAAGAUACAUCAGAGAUCAUCUGGGACAUCUAAAUAUAGAGUGCAAUGAAAUAAAGGAUGACCAUUAACUUGGCCACGCGGGAUAAAAGUUUUAUAAAAGGGUCUUUAUCAGGAAGGGUUGCACAGGGGGUACUUGUGGGAGUGGUGGGAAAAUAGCUGGGAUUUGUGGUGGUUUUUUUUUUUUUGUUUUUUGUUUUUGGAGACAGAGUCUUGCUCUGUCUGUCAGGCUGGAGUGCAGUGGGCAUGAUCUCAGCUCACUGCAACCUCCGCCUCCCGGGUUCAAGCGAGUCUCAUCCCGAGUAGCUGGGAUUACAGACACCUGCCACCAUGCCCAGCUAAUUUUUGUAUUUUUAG